rnacentral:rRNA from 1 species
UAGCGGCGAGUGMAGCGGCAAAAGCUCAAAUUUGAAAUCUGGCGCCUUCGGUGUCCGANUUGUAAUUUGAAGAUUGUAACCUUGGGGUUGGCUCUUGUCUAUGUUUCUUGGAACAGGACGUCACAGAGGGUGAGAAUCCCSUGCGAUGAGAUGCCCAAUCCUAUGUAAGGUGCUUUCGAAGAGUCGAGUUGUUUGGGAAUGCAGCUCUAAGUGGGUGGUAAAUUCCAUCUAAAGCUAAAUAUUGGCGAGAGACCGAUAGCGAACAAGUMCAKUGAUGGAAAGAUGAAAAGAACUUUGAAAAGAGAGUGAAAAAGUACGUGAAAUUGUUGAAAGGGAAGGGUUUGAGAUCAGACUCGAUAUUUUGUGASCCUUGCCUUCGUGGCGGGGUGACCCGCAGCUUAUCGGGCCAGCAUCGGUUUGAGCGGUAGGAUAAUGGCGUAGGAAUGUGACUUUACUUCGGUGAAGUGUUAUAGCCUGCGUUGAUGCUGCCUGCCUAGACCGAGGACUGCGAUUUWAUCAAGGAUGCUGGCAU